GGCCAUAUCAUGUUGAAACUUUGUUUCUCAUAAAAUCACCAAAGUUAAGCAACAUUAGGCCUGAUUAGUACCUAGAUGGGUGACUGCUUGGGAAUAGCAGGUGCUGUAAG